rnacentral:rRNA from 1 species
CCUACGGGAGGCAGCAGUGGGGGAUAUUGCACAAUGGGGGGAACCCUGAUGCAGCGACGCCGCGUGGGUGAAGAAGCGCCUCGGCGCGUAAAGCCCUGUCAGCAGGGAAGAAAAUGACGGUACCUGUAGACGAAGCCCCGGCUAACUACGUGCCAGCAGCCGCGGUAAUACGGAGGGGGCAAGCGUUAUCCGGAUUUACUGGGUGUAAAGGGGGCGCAGACGGCGAUGCAAGCCAGGAGUGAAAGCCCGGGGCUCAACCCCGGGACUGCUCUUGGAACUGCGUGGCUGGAGUGCAGGAGGGGCAGGCGGAAUUCCUGGUGUAGCGGUGAAAUGCGUAGAGAUCAGGAGGAACACCGGUGGCGAAGGCGGCCUGCUGGACUGCGACUGACGUUGAGGCCCGAAAGCGUGGGGAGCAAACAGGAUUAGAUACCCCAGUAGUC